rnacentral:misc_RNA from 1 species
AGGGUGAAGUGUGUAAACAAAUUUUCGGAAAAAUAUAAAAAAAUCUGAUAAGAAUUGGGAAGAAUCACAUUGAACGAUAUAAAGUGUAAAUAAGAUGUUUUGAAACUAUCAAGUGCAUGCCGUCUCGUCCUUGAAAGUGAUUGUCAUGCUCUAUUCAUUCCUCGCAAGUUUAUAUGCAAGUUCAGAUUGAUAAAACUUGACAAAAUCCAACGCAACAUCCGAUGUGGAACGUCUAAGAUUCAAUAUAAACACAGUUGUUGUGAAGCGAGUAGAAAAAUGAGUGAUUCCACAAGCUCGGAUAGUUCUAGCAGUACGGGAUCAGAAAUUGAGGAAAUAUUCUUGCGAGCCUGCCGCAAUGGGGAUAUUCAGACUGUGACAUUGUUGCUCGAAAAAAGAGAUUCUGGCAAGUACGGAUUCGACGUGAGCUGCAAAGGGAAAUCAAAAAGCAACUUGGGAUGGACACCACUGCAUUUGGCAACGUAUUUUGGACAUCGUACCGUCAUGGAAGUGCUGUUAACUGCAGGUGCCGAUAUUAAUGCGAUUAACGAUAGCGGCGAUACGCCCCUGCACAAAGCAGCGUUUAUCGGCCGAGAGGACUUAGUUAUGCUACUACUACAACAUAAUGCCGAUGUAAAUAUAAUAAACGGAGAAGGCCGGCUUCCACGUGAUGUGACCCCAGCCAAUGAGGUUGGAAAAGAAAUUAGCAAACUCCUAAGAGCUGCAGAAGCUACCGAAAUGCUAAGGAAGGAAAGCAAACUCCUAACGGCUGCCAGGGAUGGUGAUAUCAAUACCUUGAAUGCUCUGCUCAAAGAUCAACAACCCCCAAACGUGAAUUGUGUGGAUGCCCAAGGUAAUUCAUGCCUUCACUGUGCAGCAUAUCGUGGCCAUAAAGAAACUGCAGUAUUAUUACUUCAAAAUGGUAUUGAUACUAAUAUUAGAAACAACCGAGGACAAUUGGCUCUGGAUUUAGCAAGAGACUCACAAACUCUUCAAGUGCUCAGUGUAAAAGCAGUAAGGCGGGUUCAAAAAACUGCAACACUUUUCGAGGGACCAUUACUGAAGAGAUCACGUUUUUUGGGGUGGAAACCAGUAUGGGCUGUUUUAGAACGAGGAGUUCUUAGUUAUUUUACCUCACGAGCUGACUCCACGUUAAGUGAAAAUAAACGCCGAGAUUACAAGUAUUUAGAUAGUGCAAGAGUAACCCCGUUGACAACAGAUUUAUCAUCGUUCGUGGUACAUUUCAAUGAUGGCGCCGUACAUCGGUUAAGUGUUAUUAGUAAUAGAGAUGUUUCUCCUCAGGUUGAAAGACAGAAAUGGGUAAAUGCUUUCCAAGAGCAUGCAGCGUACAGUGCUCAUUACUUGUGGGGAUUAGAAAAAAGAAAGUCUGAAAGUGAUGAUGAUUUUACGGCGAUUGCAAAACCCCUGGGUUGUAUGGCUGAUGCAUUAUCAUCAGCAACGGCAAGUUAUGAGGUCUUGCAACGACAACUAGGGGAAUGUGCCACUAUAAUAGAAGCUUUGCAGAAAAGUUUUGACUGCAAAGAUGACUCACCAAAUCUUCCAACUUCCGCUCUGAUGGUAGGGAAUUUCGGUUUGGCUUAUUUGCGCUUCCAAUUAGUUUCCGAAACUGCAGCCAAUAUGUUAGCUUCCUUACAGCAUUGCCUUACACUGUUCCAUCAACAAGAAGAUGUUCGAGUUCUACAGUUGAAACAGGAGCAAGAAAAAUGUCGAGUAUUAGAAGAAGCGCUGAAUGUAUUAGCAAAGGAGCAUCAUGAGCUCGAACAAUCGGUAGCAUCUCACAUAUCAGAAGGAGGACGCAAUUUAAACCCCAAGUCACCGCGAAUCUACGAUACAGAUGACGAUGAAUUUUAUGAUGCGUACGAAGCGGAUUCUGAUACCGAUACUCUAGUCACAGCUGAAUCUUUAUUCAACUCACCAUCAGAAUCGUUACAAGACCUAAAUUCAGUGAGCGUUCAAUCAUAUGAGCCUCUACUUCAGUCCAUAACAUACUGUAAAAGAUCGGCGAGGAAGCAAUCGACCGAUUCUAAUUCGUCUUCCGGAAGUAGUGAUACACUUGUCGAUGGAGUUUCAAUGGUAUCAUCAUGCGCCACGUUGAUAUCGACCGGUGGAUCUGCAUAUAAAUGUGCCAAAGAUCAAUCGCUUCCUGUCCAAGAGGAUGACAGUCUCUGUGAAAGCUUUAAGGAUAUGAGUGAAACGUUGAGCAAAUGUGAACCUUUUCGAAAUAGGACGUCACUUCCAGUUCCCAUGUUCUCUCGAAAUGACUUCAGUAUUUGGUCUGUUUUAAAGAAUUGUAUUGGCAAAGAAUUAAGUAAAAUCACGAUGCCUGUUAUUUUCAAUGAGCCAUUAAGUUUCUUACAACGGAUGUGCGAAUACAUGGAGUAUGCUAAGUUAAUUCGUUUGGCUUCAGAACAGGAGGACCCCGUGGAGCGUAUGAAAUAUAUAGCAGGAUUUGCUGUUUCUGCCCUCGGAUCGAACUGGGAACGUUUGGGAAAGCCAUUUAAUCCACUUUUGGGCGAAACGUUUGAGUUGCAGCGUUCGGAAUACCGUGUCGUUUGCGAACAGGUAUCGCAUCAUCCGCCCGUAUCGGCAUUCCAUGCUGAUUCCCCAAGCUUCUUGUUCCAUGGAUCAAUUCAUCCAAAAUUGAAGUUUUGGGGCAAAAGCGUUGAAAUUCAACCCAAAGGAAUUGUUACAUUAGAACUUCCAAAGUGGGGAGAAGCCUACACUUGGUCCAAUGUAAACUGCUGUGUUCAUAAUAUAAUAGUUGGUAAGUUGUGGAUGGAACAAUAUGGGACAAUGGAGGUUGUGAAUCAUACCACCGGUCACAAAGCAAUCUUAACAUUUAAGCCAGCUGGCUGGGCAUCGAAGGAUUUGCACCGAGUGGAAGGCUUCAUUACAGAUAAGAAUAAGAAAAAGUUACAUUUCCUCUAUGGCAAAUGGACUGAAUUUAUAAAAUGUACCGAUAUUGAUUCGUACGAGGAAUAUAUGAAAGAGAAUGCGCACAAGUUCCGCAAGGGUGAUGAGAAAGUGAAAAGCCCGAACGACUCACCCGCUCAUACUCCAAGAAAAGUAUUUUCCAAGUUAAAUAGUCUGAAGAUGAGUUCAUUUAAAAGUCUUUCCAUACAAGAUUCAGAAGACAUUCCAGAACCGCCAGAGGGUGAGAUACCGAAAUGUGAUUCAACGUAUUCCAUUGACAUUCCACAUUCAGUAACAGUAUGGGAAGCCGAACAACGCCCACCAAAUACGGCAGAGUAUUAUCAAUUCACAUUGUUUGCAAUGUCUUUGAAUGAGAUUGAGCCUGGAAUGGAACCACCAAAAACACUAUGUCCAACUGAUUCACGUCUUCGACCAGAUAUACGCAAAUUAGAGGCUGGUGACAUUGAUGGGGCAGCGGCAGAAAAAACCCGAUUAGAAGAAAAACAAAGAGAGUCUCGAAAACUUCGUAAGAAUAAAAAGGGAGAUGAGUGGACACCAAGAUGGUUCCGUUUAGGAACGAACCCAUACACACAUCAAGAAGAUUGGCUUUACAGCGGUGGCUAUUGGGAUCGUAACUAUACUGAUCUUGAUAUUUUCUAAGUCAUUCGCAAAAUUAAAAUAAUGCAACGCAUAUCGCAGAUUAUUCGCAAUUAUUGACAAAUGCAUAACAUCACGAAACCGCUACAGUUGAAUAAAGUAUUAUUUUAAAAGACAAUUGUGAAGAAAACUACAAAUAAGCGUUAAACCACUAUAUCCAAUAUUGUUAGUAUAAUCGAAUAUUAAAGCAAUAAUGGGAUGUGUGUUUUCAAGAUAAUUGUUUUUGUAUAGAAAAUACAUAACCGCCGUUCGACCGGCAACAAAUCUCACUUGAAAAGUUCCAAAACAGUUGGUUCACGAAUUUUGUUUAUAAAAUAGAUUCAAUUAAAUGUUUUUGUUUAUAUUCCUACCCUAAAAUGAUAAAGACGCUUAUUACUCCUUUGUUAAGUAUUCAAAGUUGCAAUAAAUUUCCAUAUCAAUUGUUUGUAGAUGCUUUACAAAGUAGAAUAAAAUGUUAUCUUUUAUGAUAUGCUGAAGAGUGAGUUUUCUAUUUUACUCUUUUGAGAUUCGCUGAAGCGUUAAACGUAAUUAUCAGGCAUCCUUUUUGAACUAUCGAAGGAUAGAUAUUAUUACACAAGUCGGUGGAUAUUAGACUCUAUCCUAAUAAUACGAAUGAAUUCUAGUCUUUUAUAUCAAAUUCCAGAAGAAUUUUGUAGAAAGCUUAAACUUAUAAAUUAAUUUAACUUACUGCUUCUGAAACAUUCCCCUGAACAAAUACUUUUCCAAUUUUUUUUAACCACAAAUAUAAUUAGGAGGUUGUUUGUUAGCCGGAGUCUUAAAAUGAAAGAUUGUCUUGGAAGAUAUUUUUCUGGUUUAUUGGCUAAAAGUAUCUAAUUUAAACAAAUGCGUAUUUGGGGGCUCAACUGUCUCCUUUUUCAGUGUUUUUAGAUAAUAAAAACCAACAAAACGGAAAAAUAUCUUCCAAGGCAAUCUUUCACAAAUAUAAGUUUCGAAAAUUCCUGUUUCAUUGCUUAUAGUAUUGAUUGAGUUGAUUCACAAAUUGAAUAAUUUUUCUACGAUAAAUAGAGGCGCUAGCAUUUGUUAUUGAAUCCCAAUCAAGAGAAUGCCUAUCACCUUUAUUUUAAAUUUAGAUAUCUUUCAACUGAGGAACACAUCCAAAACUGCACAUCGAAUUAUAUAUUAGCCUGAAAGAAAUUUGAAGAAAUGAUUUGCUUUUUUGAACUUUUGCAUAGAACCGAGUCAAUUUAUAAAACAAUAAAAAAGUGUAUAGUACCCGCCGUUGAAAUUUUUGACCGACAUAGACGCCUCAGAAACAUUCAAAUUACUUUAUUAUUUUCUGCGAUCUUGUCAAUAAUCGGCGUUAUCAAUUUCAAUUUCAGUCCAUAGAAGUGGCGUUGACCAACGGGAGGCAACCUUGAUGUAUUGCAAAUCUACAGUCCUUUAUAUAUUGCAAGCCCUUAACACAAACAAAAGUUAGAAUUAUUCUCAAAGUUUGGUGUCGUGAAUAACCGAAAAAAUGAUGUCUUCAGAAACAAACUUACACAUGGGAGAAAGUGUUAAUUUCACAUAGAUAUAUGAUUAUAUCCUUCAAAAUAUAAUUAGUUCCUUAUGUAACUUCCGCGUUGCUUUUGACCAAGUACUGAUUACUACUUUCCAUCCAAGAUUAGACAAUUAAACCAGCUUUCGAGAAUGUAUUAUCCAUUAUUAUUCAGUUUUUAUACUGAAUCAUAAUUUGCUUUAAGAAAUUAAAAAUAGCAUGUGAGCAUUGAAAAAAUAAUGCAAUCAUAACAGCUUUCAUAAAACCAUGAAAUCUUCAAUUAAAAAAUGUGAUCUUUAUUAUUGAAAACACAGCAUAAAACAAAGAAUUAUUCCAACAACACAAACAACGUACGACACAAUCAGUUUGAUAGAAACUACACAACCACUGAGGGAAUAUAAAUGUCUGUAAUUAAGAAAUAUAAGAAAAACAAAUCUUUAUUACUCAAGCAUUGUGUAUGCAUGCCAAAAACUAUACUGUAGAAACUGUAUAAUAACGUUAGAGAAAUUUUAAUUAGAAAAAAUAUUUUCGACAUGUUUGGCAAGUAGUGAAAAAAAAACAAAUAAAUGGAAGUAUUAUCGAUCAAAGAUCAUAGAAAAAGUUAAAAAGUUGUAGAAACGUGUAGAAAACAUAAGAGAAAAAGCGCAUGCAUAUAAUGAUUGUAUAUUGUAGUAAUGUUUCGGACCAUCUUUAUUUACUACAUUAUAAUGUACACCUUAAAAUUCUUAACAAUUGCAACACGAAGUUAAUAAAAGAAAAAAAACUGAACGUGCUAGCUGAUUUACAUAGCUUCUAUUAUAUACAUUAAAAUGUCUAAAAGAAAUCUGAAAGAGAAGGAGAUUUUCUGGGAAAUGCAAAAUAACAAAAAUAUAUUUUUAUUCACAUUUUAAUUUUGAGAGCAAAUACACAAUAACUAUUUCAUAUAAAUUGUUACCUAAAUUAUAGUGACCAUUGAUAUGAAAGGAAUGACUUGUAUGAUAUUUGUAAUUUUUGAGCUAUAAAACAAUAUAUUGUUGUAAAUAAGGGAAUUAUGAAUAAUAAAUUAUUUGACAUUUAAUGCAAAAA